rnacentral:rRNA from 1 species
UACGUAGGGGGCAAGCGUUUGUCCGGAUUUAUUGGGCGUAAAGAGCGUGUAGGCGGCCAGGUAGGUCCGUUGUGAAAACUCGAGGCUCAACCUCGAGACGUCGAUGGAAACCGUCUGGCUAGAGUCCGGAAGAGGAGAGUGGAAUUCCCGGUGUAGCGGUGAAAUGCGCAGAUAUCGGGAAGAACACCCGUGGCGAAGGCGGCUCUCUGGAACGCAACUGACGCUGAGACGCGAAAAGCGUGGGGAGCAAACAGG